UCUCAUGCUGUGACCCUCCAAAGGGAAGCACUUCCUGUUUGUUUUCUCUUGGAACAAAGUGCCUCCCUUUAGAGUGUUACCGUUUGGGA
rnacentral:pre_miRNA from 10 species